UGGGAUUUAAUUUUAAAUCUUAAAUUGUUUAAAGUCGCGUCAUUGUAUGACGUCGUCAAGUAUAAUAUUUUCCGCGACAUCGCACGUUCACUUUUUACCGUCAUAGAGUUUUUAAAAGAAACAUUAUUUGGUUACCAAGGUCUGUUAAAUGGGGAACACCAUAUUCGGUAUUUAUAUUAUGUUUUAACAAUUAAUUAAUGCUGUGUAAUAAAUAUUGUUUAAGAUAUUUCGAUAUUUAUUGAAAAUGUUUCAAAAUGUUAUUUAUGAAACCUCUUAUUCUAAUGAGUGUAUGCUAUUAUAUUAUACUUUGAAAAGCAUAUCUGUUGUACUAUAAUCUUAUUAUUCAUUUAUUACUGUUAAUUUCAUUUAUUGUAGAGAAUCGUCAAUGUUACAUCUAGUCGCCAAUGCUUGUCGUCAGUGUUAGUCGUAAAUGCUUGUGAUCAUUGUCGUCGAUGUUAGUCGUCAAUCCUUAUCGUCAUUAUACAUGAAGGAAAUAAAAGCAGAAACAGAGACGUAUUCUUGAUUACUUGCUUAUUCCUACGGCGUCCUCUCAACACUCAUACUAAAAAGCAUGUUGAUGCAGAUUUUUUAAAAGAGAAGUUUGUUUAAGGUAAACAAUAUUGUUUUACGUUAAUCGGUAGCAUGUUUAACGACAUCGGAUUUUUGGCGGAUAUACAACUCGGAUACAAUCUAAUAUUUGCGGGUUUGUUUAAGUUUAUUUACCGUACCCAGGGUACAUGUAAGUAAAAUUAAGAGUACCCGGGGUACAUGUACCGGUAAGUAGUACCCGAGCCGAGAAUGACCAAUCGAGCCUUAGUAAGUGAGUGAUGGUGUAUGGGAUAACAUGCACUGAGGGUGUAUAUUUUUCACGAACAAGUCAAUUGAAGGUGUUAGAGAUGCAUUGAUCCAUAAGAUUUAAAAGGGUAAUUAACCACGGGCUUAUUAAAAUUAAAAUGAUGACAUUACAUUGUACCGGCUGUUUAUUGUUGUAUACUGUAAGCUUGCAAUAUUUUAAAUAAUGUAAACAACUUACCUUGUAUUAAGUUGGCACAUUGUUGUCAGGUGUAGAAACUUUUUAUACUUAUUUCUGUUAAGUUGCACUGGCUGAACCAAAAGAAUUAUGUAGUCGUUUCUAAAUAAUCACGAAACAACCUACUAAUGCUUAUAUGCUUGCCAGUUAC